rnacentral:rRNA from 1 species
UACGGAGGGUGCAAGCGUUAUCCGGAUUCACUGGGUUUAAAGGGUGCGUAGGUGGGCUAGUAAGUCCGUGGUGAAAUCUCCAAGCUUAACUUGGAAACUGCCGUGGAUACUAUUAGUCUUGAAUAUUGUGGAGGUAAGCGGAAUAUGUCAUGUAGCGGUGAAAUGCUUAGAUAUGACAUAGAACACCGAUAGCGAAGGCAGCUUGCUACACAAUCAUUGACACUGAGGCACGAAAAGCGUGGGGGAUCAAAACAGGG